rfam:Picea glauca, whole genome shotgun sequence.
GGGUGCGAUCAUACCUGUGCUAAUGCGCCGGAUCCCAUCAGAACACCGCAGUUAAGCACGCUUGGAGCAGAGUAGUACUUGGAUGGGUGACCUCUCGGGAAGUCCUAGUGAUGCACCCU